UUGCUUUAAAGUCAACAUUAUUGUUAAGUUAUGUGGAGUUGGGAGAGAGAAGUGUGACUGGCUGGUUGAGGUGACCCGUGGCAAGAGAGCAAAUAGAGGAAGAAUAAAAGAUAUGGAGGGGAUAUGAGCACUCGAAGGACAGAUUAUGAAGAUGUAUGCAAGGGAGGAGUGAACACAAGGGGGAAAGACAGAGCAGUGAGAGAAUGAAGGUUAGACUAAUGAAUGGAUAUACUGGAAAAGGCAGAAAGAAGGAGAUAAGAAAGAGGGAAUAGAGAGGAGAUGGUGAUUAGGUGAAGACUGUGCCAAUGCCAAGGGAUAUUCAAAUUAAAAAAAAUGUUUGGUCUUAGGAAAAAUGAAGAAGGUCUCUAUGUGUGACCUCGGGCUACUAUCCUGUAGCUGCAGUAAGUAGCUACAUGAAAUUCAAGAUGUUUGACAGGAGUGCAGAUACACACACAAAAACACACACAAACACAUGAUUAGUGUCAGGAAAGAUGAUCUGAUGUAGGUGCACGGUCAGCAAGACUCAUUACACAUGAGCUGGAUUGAUCAGUUGGUCUGCGCAAUGAUUAGAUAAGAUGCAGGAGGUGUGUGUGUGUGUGUGUGUGUGUGUGUGUGUGUGUGUGUGUGUGUGUGUGUGUGUGUGUGUGUGUGUGUGUGUGUGUGUGUGUGUGUGUGUGAUCUCUGCUGCAGUCUCAAAGACAGUAGCCUCAUAGCCCCCAGCUGUGGCCUGACCUUUUCACUAAUUGACUCUAAUCAAUUGAGCUCAUUCCUUUCUAUCAAGCUCUUCUAAGGGGGAAUGAUGCUCCUCUCUCCUCACUGCAUGCUCCUAUUAAGCCUUUAAAGAGGUGAACCACCUCUCUCAUGUUUCAUAUGUAUUCCUACUUCAUAAAACUUAAGCGCUUCAACUUCGUAAACUAGAAUUUAAAUGUGAAUGUAGCAUGCAAUUAAGAAUAUCUUCACAUUGUGCCUGCCUUCUGCCUCUUUUUAAUUUAUAUUCUAACUCUUCUUCUUGGAUAAAUGAGUUUGCAGUCCAUCUAUUCAAAAGGGAGUGACUAUAAUUACAGUUAAGAUAAAGGGUUGCUUCUUAUCUCAUUCAAGUCAAGAAGUCUGCCCUGUUGCUGUUAUUUUUGAGAAAUGCUCUUGCUAAAUCCUUUCAAUGUGUAACUCAGUUAUCAGGACAAGCUCAAUCCAAAUUUUGCAGCUAAGUAUGACCAUACUUUUAUUAAUCGUAAAAACUUAAAAGUGUCACUUUGUUCUCAUCCCAAGCACAUAAAAAUCUGAGUUCAUACCGAUACAGGCAGAACUCUUGUUUUGUUUUCUGUCCCUGUAUUUCAGAUAAACUUUUCAUCAAAAUGUUAUCUUAACGAGGUUAACAUAGAAUUGGCUGCAGUCUCAUGAGGUUUAGAAAAAUAUGAUGGCUGGAGUUAAAAUAACUUAACACAUUCUUUUGAUUCCAAACAAGACAUGAUUCUGUGACUGGACUUACCAAAACUGGGACUCAGGCCCUGUUUAUACGUACCCGGUUAUUUAAAAUAAAAACAGAGACUUUAACCAUCGUUUGCACCCUUUGUUUGGACACAAACAGAGAAUUCGCCCCUGAAAAUGAUGCUUUUUAAAAACUACAGCCAAAGUGGAGAUUUUGGAAAAAUUUGUUUGCACGUUUGCAUGUAAACAGAGAAAAACUGAGAUUUGGGUAGCCGAUGGCAGAUUGUGCCCUGGAAACUGGGUUAAACGUGACUUUGUUUACAGUUUAAAGUCUAUGAUUACAAUUUAUGGUGAUCAUGGAUGCAAGCAGAAUAGCAGUCACGUUUAUGCUGGUGCAAUGCCUUUGUAUUUGUUUGCAUUUGCAGAUGCAAGUGCUGUACUAUGAGGAAGAGCAGCAGGAUUCUGCUAACGUGGGCUUGAGCUUCUCACUACACUGUCACCUACAGGUUUGGCAUACUCUUGACGGCAAAUAUACACAGGUUAGUGUAAACGAAAACUUUUCUGAAAAAAAAAAAAAAGAAAAUCCAUCCCAUGUUGCACACAAUAAGGGUCAAAAACUAAUUCAAUAUGUGCACCUGGAUCAGAUCAGCUUGAGUCUUGGCAUUGUGCACCCAGCAAGACCAGGCAGUGUGGCCCUCCCUAUAAUACAUGGGUAGACUAUAAAUGAAUACAUACAGAUUUUAGCCUCAUCACUACCUUGUGAUGUUCAUUUCAUUCAUUUUCUACUUCAUACCUUGUUUGAAAUAUUUUACAUUUUAUCACACAACAAACAAUUUCUAAGCUUUUUUUGUUACAUUUGUAAAAUGCACAAUUUCUUUUUACAUAUUUCUGAAUUUUGUACAAAUAUAUGUAUUAUUUGUACCUUUUACUUUACAGCUGUUUAUUUAUCUUUCUCCUUUAAAAAUAUAAUACAUAUCUUUUAUAAGAGCACUUACAAUGCCAGAAUUUCUGGGCUAGUUCUGUUAUUCUGAAUGCUCAGCCUGAUAUUUGGCACAAAGAAAAAAAAAUCAAGCUGAUCUGCACCAAAAUGCUUUGCAACUGUUAUCUAAACUUCUGUAAAUAAUCACAAGCACAAAAAGGGGUGCAUUUCUAUAGUUUACUUCACAUAUCAGGAUUAGGAAUCAUUGGAGCCAAUAACUGAAUAUCCUUGUAGUGUGGCAUUUGAGUCUGUUAUAUGCACUCCUUUAAAGAAACCAUCAGUUGUAUUGUUUAGAACGGAUUUAUACAAUAGUGUGGAUUUAAAUGUAGGAUGUUAUCAGCCUGUGAAGUUCAGGUUGUGUUACUCAGACUACUACUUCUAUUUUGCAGAGACAGUACAAGACAGCAGGGUUUCCCGGACACUGUUUUCUUCAUUUAUGCAUCAGCUACAUCUUCAGACACUAAUCUGUUCAGCACAUCAGCAGUACUGGUACUACUGAUUGAUUGAUGGGGUGUGUACUUUCCACAAGACAAAUGCUUCAGUUUCACUAGAUCUAACUAGAAAUGAGUUUGGCCAAACUUAAGCAAAUGUUCUCAUACAGAAGGAGGUGGGGUCUGAAAGACCCUUCGUACUCCCUUUCUUUCCCCUUUAAAACAAACACACACACGCACACACACAAACUGUGCACGCACACACACACAAACUGUGUACGCAGUGACAUUCACAGCACUGGUUCUCACACUGGGAGCCACUCAAUCCCAGAUCAAUACACAGCUUUCUCUUCAAUAAUACACACACACACACACACACACACACACACACACACACACAGACACACACACACACACACACACACACACACACACACACACACACACACACACACACACACACACACUUUGCUCUAUCCAGUCCUAAUGGUCUGGAAGUCUCCCGUCCUCCAUUUCCUUCGUGUUUCUCUCCUUUUUCCUGUCUCUCAUCUGUUCCUUUUGCUUCUAGUCUUUUACUGUACAAUGUUUAUCUUUUCAUUUUGAAAUGGGAGUGUGUUUUGGUUUUUUUUUUUGUGUGUGUGCUUGUUUUUACUUCUAUGCUAAAUGCAGAUUUUAGCAUUUACAUUUAAUCCUAAAGCGACAAAACUACUGAGUGCACCCCUGUUGCAGUCAAGGUACACUCCUCAGCCACAGGGGACACAAAUAAUGAACAGGAGGCUGCUGGUCUUUGUGUUUCUCUGUGUGGGUCUGUGGGUUUUAAAUCUGAAGUAUAUGCAGUAUAUAUCUUAAAAAGUAUAGAACAAGUGUGCAUGUCUUGUUGUACUUGUUGAAGUGUGAGCAUGAGUUCAAAGUGAUGAUCAUAAGUAAAAGAUGAAACUGAGCUAGUUUAGGAUGGAAAAUGUUAAGUCCAAUAUCCUCUGUGCAAAUGUGUGUAUGUGUGUGUGGGUUCAUGUCUGUGUUUGUGAAUAGAGGAUAAGUAUUAGGUGGCUGUGAUUAAUUUCCCUCCAAAGCUGUAGCUCUAAUUCCCGGCUGAGGUGGGAAUGGUCCCUGAAAUGGUCCCAGUGGAAAUCACAGCAGGCAGGCAGGCAGACAGCAGCUUUGAGGAACACUGAUGAAUUAUCCAUAGAGGGAGAGAGGGUGGGGGUGAGAUAGGAGGAGAGGUUAGAGAGAGAGCGCAGUGAAGGCAGGCAGGCAGGAAGGAAGUUCUGCAAAGAUGAAGCUCAGAGACUGUGUGAAAAGCUGGAGAGAAAGGGAAGGAUUGUAAAUACAGGAGGAAAGGUAAGGGAGAGCGCAAGAAAUAUCAUUAAAAAUUUCACAGAGAAGACAAGAAAUGUUUGCAGAGGGCCAGAGACAAGAGUGUAUGAAUACUCACAAACAAGCAAAAAGUCAUUUACACUUACUAGCCUUUUAGAAUUUUGUGUAAUUUUUUUUAACUUUAACAAUUAACACAACAGCUUGGAAACAGAAAAGAUUUUUGGAGUAAUUCUUUAAGACCCAAAACAAAGAUGUUUGCUCUAAAUCAGAAUUAAGAUUAACUCUCAAAUUCAGCAAACUCUUGUCAGCUGCCAGACCCUCAAAAGACAAUUUAUUUGCACAAAAAAAACAAAAAACAUUUUGACUGUGAAGAAGUGUAAGGGGUUGGUUUGCAAUCUGACCCUUGAUUUGUAAUAUGAAAAGAAAUGUUUUACAAUUAAACCUUAGUUAGAAUUUUGCAAGAAUCAUGGGGAGAGCAUGUCAAAAGUGAUGCAGCAUUUACUUCAACACAACGCAGAUUUUAGGGGAAUGCACUGUAUUGGAUGCUAUUUGGAAGCAGCAGCAAUGUCUCAUCAUAUUCAGGUACAAAACACAGAUUAUUUGUAUUAAGGUAAAUCAAGUAUGUCCACAAAUACUUGAAAGACAUUUUUGUUAGGGUUAGGGUUAGGGUGGGGAUUUUGCAGUCUGUGGCACUUUUUGUGCCCCCUGUGGGCAAAGCAGUCCUUGCUUAUCCUGUUCUCUACACACAGACAAAAAAAAAUCAUCCUGCUGACUGUUGGCAGUCUUACACUGCUUUCAGGCAAUUCAAAUUACAAAAGAAAAUGUGUCAGUUUUGUAGCUAAUGGUCUUGUUGCAUUAAAAUUGUCAUGAAAAAUCAAUAAUAUAAAUUUUGGUCUAUUCCAUAAAUGUCAAAAUCUCCUCGCAGGAGCUUGAAGUUAGGACAGUGAACCUCCACCAUAGAUUGUACACAGAAUGGACGCUGUCUGCCUCCUGGCUGGAUGAAGCCACUGCGAGAACAGCACCCUCUGUUGAUGGGCUGCAGUAUAGGUCAUAAAUCCUGCCUCCUCCAGCAAUCACUAUGGAGCUGUGGACAAACUUUAGAAAUUAAUUACACAGAAUAUAAAUUUUUCUCCCCCCUGGUUUUGAUGUUGACAUGUAGUUACUGUAAGACUGGUUUGUGCUCAAGUCCUCUUUUUUCUGUGCAGCUCUGUUUUUAAAAGUUAUUAGGGGGUUUAUGUUUUCUGUGAUUGACACUUGAUACAGCCUAUGGGUGUACGAAGAUUGCGUAGCUUACCCAGGGAAAACGCUGUUUGAGCCGAGCAUCAUCACACUGACUGUUAGCGAUUCUUCCGCCGAAUGCGUACAACACUUCUGCGCAGGUGGUGGUUUUAGGAAGUGAAGAAAAUCCUGGAGAUACAGAGAGCAAUUCAGCUUCAAAUUUGUGUAAUGACGGAAGGCGGAGCCAAGUUGUUCAUGGUAUGUUCAGUCUAUGACCUCCACCCUAACGCUGUAGUGCAGAAACAGUUUACUCAAACAAUAAAGGGCAAGAUCAAUGAGAAAAAAGUCAAGGACUGUCAUCACACACUGACAAGAAUUAAAAGUAGGAGUUACACCCCUUUGUGACCAAGGGUCACCGAGGGAGAUAUGCAAAAUACUUUCUGAUUUUGACAACAUAACCAUAGGCUGAUAUUGUGUUUUAUCCAAAUGUGUGUUUGUCAUAUUUUAUGUAGAAUUUAUCUUGUUAGGUUUGUUGUUUUUUCUUGUUGAUCUACUCUUAUAAGACAGAGUUUCGUUUGUUGUUUUAAAGAAAGAGAGAAAGAAAAAUCCUCGACACUCUUGCAAGCCCAAAUGUCUCAACAAUAAAGACAGGCCAAAGGCAUUUUCACACAUUGACUGUUUUUUCAUCUGAAGCAACCCCUUGGCUUGGAUCGUAUUUAAACAUAUGAACACAGCAAUUGUUCUCUGAAGUGGAGCAGAACAAGCAAGCUGAGAUUGCCUAGAAAAAGUAGUCCUGGUAUGCUCCCAAUUGAAACCUGGAGCGGUGAGAGUGCAAUCCACAAUCAAGUAGACUAGUGGUUUUCGAUUACUACUGUUGGUUGGCAUAAUAAUACUGAGAGGCUAUGUAACCUACAUAUCCAUCCAUUCGGCAUCAGCAGAAGAGCUGUUGCCAGGCGUAACAGGACUCUACAACAGCAACUGGUGCAAAGACCUGUUGAGCUCAGAGAGUCUUGUCCAACCCCAUCAGAGGAAUUCAGCCUUCAUUACCAGCACUACUACUUUCAUCAAGCUGGUCUAAUACCUACACAUGCUACUGUCUAAGUUUCUGAGCCGUGUGGCAACACUACUCAGCAGAGCAGUGAGCACCCAUCUUGUUCAUGAACUUGCCCACAAGUUUGUAACUUCUGUAAAUUGGCCUAGCUGAUGAGGCAUUUGACAUCCUUGCUGCUCCAAGUCAACCCAUGAGUCAUUUUCUUGUAGGUUAACUGGCUAAUGUUAGUUAGCAUCUUACAGCCAGGGUUUUGGUGUAAAUGGUGACCCUGUCAACUGGCAACUUCCCGUCAAAUGGGUCUCUUGCAAAUGUUUUUGGUUGUUCAGCAAAGACAGAUGUGUAUACUUUCACAUUAUCAUACAGUACAAAGAUAACCACGACAAUCACUGUCACGUUUGGUGAAAGGUGCCAGAUUACAAGGUAACUGUUUCAACCGAGACACUAGCUUUCUAACUGCUUGGCAAGAUUUCUAACCAAUUAACACGUUUUACGACUCGAGGACCGCCAUGUGAUGGUCUAUGCUUGUGCACACUCUCCAGUGCUGCAGUGUGAACACAAAACAACCCCCUGUUAAAAAUUAUAACAAUGUGUAUUUUUUUUCAACUGAAACAAAACAUAGUUAACAAGCAAUGGGUGUGAAAGCUGCCUAAUGUUUAAUUCUUUAACAUUCUUGUUUUUGUUUUUCAAACCCUGACAAAAAAAAGAUGCAGGAAUGCAGGAACUAAUGAAAAACUGAAUUGAAAGCAGAAAGGAAAAUGACAAGAUUGAAAUGGGACCCAACACUUGGGGCCCUUUAGAAUUUUGGGGGGGCUGCACCUCUGGACGCCUUUGUGGAUAUAGCAUAAUAGAUGGUAAAGUAAAAGCUGCAAAGUGUUUGAGAAAUCAGUUGUUAAGCUGCUAAUUCACUCCCUCUCUGUGUCUCCUCUCAAUCAGGCUCAAUGUGUAAAUUUGAUUGGACCUGUUUGGCAGCAAAAAUCCACAAAAAUAAGUUAUUUAUUAGCCAAGUCAUAACCUUGGGGUCAAUUUUUUUUAAGGCUUCGCCUUUUACCUUUACUGUUCUGAAUAAAACUGCUAUUAUAAUCCCUGUGCUACUAUAGGAGGAGGUGUUUCAAGCCAUGUUGUUUUUGUUUGUGUGUGUUUUGAGGGUGAUCAACUAAGAAGAAGGGUGUGAAUGAACCAGGUGCAAAGGCUGCUGGGGAGGAGGUGGUGUUUAAAUUAGAGUUUGCAUGUUUCUGCUGUAGAGAGUUUGGACAGAAAGUAGCUCGAGUGGCAGCAGGUGCAAAACGAAACUCUGCUCGAUGAAAAGUACCAGUGAAAGAGGAACAGAACAUUUGUGUGCCUAUCUAAAUAGUAUUUUUAGGAACACGAUAGGGGAGACAAGUGAGAAAGCACACACUUUUGGUAAAACAAGAACAACAAACUAAAUCAAGAAAAUAAACGGGGGAAAUGGUUCAUAAUUCCUAAGCAUUUAAAUAGGCCAUCUCCAUUAAAAUCAACAGAGAUCCUGCAGGACCACAAUUUGAUGCACAGAGUAGAUAUAAAGUCUGAAGCUCUUGAAGAUGGAUUGUCAUCUGUUGUGCAUGAAACUGUACCAGCUAUUUCCUCCAUGACACUCAUACUGGACAGCUAGUCAGUGCUGCACCUGGCCCUGUUAAUGUCCAUAAAUGCCCAGCAGGAGGAAAAACAAUGUACCUGCAGAUGUGGACUUUAUAUUCAAGCAGGCCGACAACUAGGAAGAAGAAAAGAUGUAAAAGAGACUAAACCAAAUGUAAAAUGUAAUAUUGGGAACAAAGUAAAGAAGUAGGACUUCAAUAUCAAGUCAAUAUCAAGAUUUUUUAGGCUGCACUGGCUGUGAAUUGGCUCUAAAGAUACGACGCAAUGCAGUGUAUAUGUUUAAUAACAAUAACGUUCUUCUCCGUUAAAGAUCAUUUAAUGGCAAUAUUAAAAUGAUCUCAACAUUAUUUAAAUUAGACUGUUGUGUGUCUUUAAUUUCCUCAGCCAUCUGUGCCUAACUCUGGCCACCUGAAUUUGCACCCUCUUUUCCAAAGGUGUGAAAUUUUCACACAGUAAAAACAACAGCAACUAUUUUCAGCCUCAGUGAAUCACUUACUUCCAUUAGCCCUGCAUUCCCCCUUCUAUUCAUUCACACUCAGCUGCAAAUGCUCAGAAAGCACUCAUUGUUGCUGCUCAGGAAUGUACCUACAGAUUAAUGCAGGUGAAUCUAGGCAACAAUGGAAGAUAUGAUAUUAUUCCCAGAAUAGUCAUUAGGCUAUUAGGAAAACAUUAUGUAUCAUUAAUCAUGUCAAACACAUAAUUCCCUCUGGUAAAAGUAAUUAUAAAACGCCCCAGAGGGGUGAGUAUCUGUUCAGACUGGAAUGGUUAGCUCUGGCAGAUUAGUCCGUCUACUGUUGGGCCCAGCUCAGCAAGUACAAUAAUGUGCAAGGCUGCAAGGAAUCUGAAUCUGCAAAGCCAGUCAUCAUCAUCAUCAUCAUCAUCAUCUCUCAGACGAAUAUGGAUGGUGCGUUCAGGACCAUUGGAAUUUUCUAUACUACUUAAAAUAACUGGGGUUACAAUGUGAACAUGUACAUGUGAAGGAUUUGUGUGUGGUGGAGACAAAACGACCCCUGACAAAAAGUGUGGGAGGGACAUCCCUCCCCCCAAACUGACGCCAAUGGUUCCAGCCUAUUAUGCCUACUGAAAUAAAUAUUAUGACACAACAUGGGUAAUGCUGUCUUGUAUGUCUUGGAAACAUUUGACUAACAUAAUAAUAUCUGAGUAUGGCCCUCUGAGUAAUUUGGUAUGACCCAAAGUUCAGCCUUUACAUUUAGUGCAUUGUUGUACUUCAUUUGUGUUACAUCUGAAGGUUAAAUACACCUGUCAUUGUAUUAUACAUUCCGCACCUCUAAUGACUGUUUUUUUCAGGGUGUUACCCACACAGUUCCUUCAGAGGGGACUUACUGCCACAAGGUUUUAGACAUUAUGCAAAUGACAGAGGAUUAUAAUAUCCUGAUCAUUAUGCCUGUAAUGAACUCUUGAGCUGGUUUUAAUGUCUAAUGACCAGCAUUUAGAAGUGAAGGGCAUAGGCACUUACAAAAUAAAGGACAUGAUGUAUUUUUUUAUAGCUCUACAGACAUGACUUAAAAGGACUUCAUUGCUAGCGGCUGUGGGCUGCAGUAAUAUUUUAAAAUUAGCCCGCAAGUGAAAGAAGGAGUUAUAGGUACAGGCCUUUUCAUUGCCUUGUUACCAUGACAUCUCCUUAUAGGUGCAGUGUGGAGUACUUAACAGCAUUUAGCAGAACAGACUUGGUAGAAAUGCAAUAAUAAGUAUGUUUCAGUUAGUGUACAGUCACCUGAAUAUAAUGACUUUGUUUUUGAGAACUUUGAAUGAGCCAUUUAUAUCUUCUUGGGAGUGGGUCCCUCUUCACUGAGGCAGCUGUCUCUCACUCCCAUUUUCUCUUUCAUAGUAUAGAAUGGACAAACAUACCCGUUUAAGCAUUUAGUGAGUGACUGUUAAAAAAGCACAGACUGGAAGACAAAGGAGAACAAAGUGGCUGUUUCAACAAAUGGAUUGAUAUCGAUAGAUGUUUUUGAGAGUCCAAAAUUUCACAAAUGGAGUGUCAUACAUAUAAUGUAUCAAAGGGGCUUUUUGUACUCAAAGACCAUUUUUGCUUAGAGAACUUCAACAGUGAGAAGGGUGAGCAGAGGGAGUGUUUCAACCUAAAAUCUGAUCAUUAGAUGUUGCUGAAUAUUUCUAUUUCUGCACACUGUACUUAAAAGUAAUGACCUCUUAGAUGUCAGACCUGAAAUUCUCCUCUACCUUAGCCAUGUAAAUGGGGAAAUUCUCACCAAAUCAACAACCCCCGACACUGCAUUGUUUUCUUUGCACACGUAUGUUUCAUCUAAUAUGUCUUGCCAAAAGCACUGACAGAAACAGGAUGCCAGAUCAAAAGUUAAAUUGGUUCUAAAUAGAUCCUCUGGGAAUGUACAGACUCUAAUUAUCACUUUUUUCAGUGAAUGUAAUAGUCAUUUUAUGUGCUCACUUAAAAAAUACAUACCCUAUUCAUCAUUUCAAUCCUCUAGUUUAAGUUUUCUCCAAGCCAGGCAUAAUGAUUUGUCUCAUAAAUUGAGUCCAUGAAUUUCAAGUUUAACAACUUUUAUGACUACUUAUAACAUGUUAAUGCAUUGCAGUUUCCGAACCCAAAACAACCACCUCUUCUAAAGCAAGUGGAUUCUUUUGGUUUUCUGUAGUAAAGCACGUUUUCAGGACUAUGGGGUUCAAUCAAAUUGCUUAGGUUCAAGUUGUCCUGCGUAACCAUGGAAAACCAAGUUCAGCAUCAUAUUUCUUGAAAGCUGUUGUAUUUGUUGUCUGUCUAUUCAUGUUUUUGUCUGAUUCCAAUGCUUUAAAGAUAUAUUCCGGCAUAAUUUUAAUCUAAUUUUAAAGCAAUGGUCAACCACACCGUAACACUGAGUUAGACCCCCCCUCGAGAGUUGAAUGUUGCUGACUGCUUGCUUCUCUAGUUAUACCAACUUUAGUAACGACCGCAAGAUAGCAAUACACAGCGGUCUACGUCUCCAUGCACAAACCUCAACCAAAACAUCACUAUAUAACAUCUUUUUAGCUUCUUGUGCAAAGAGACCAAACACAACUCACCCAAUAUACCAACAUGAAGCCCUUCUUCAAUCUGCCGUCAGCAUUUCUGAGAUCUGCAAUCUCACAAGUAAACUGCUGUCUGUAUUCAGAUCCUGGGCCCUGUCUCCCUCACCUGAACACUGUUACCAGAGCUGGACUUGCCUUGUGAGAUUGACCCUGUGUAAGUUCAGAUUGUGCUGAAUCUGAAGUUCCUCCUAAGUUUGAUUUCCACUUAGUAAUGAGAUGACACAUCCAUACUGCCAGCUCUCCACUUAGGUGUCAUCAAUCCCAAUCAAACUCCAGCACGAUCAAAUCCCUCCAUUCAGCCAGACAGAGCUUUGUGAUUCUGUACAGCUGCUAGCUUGGCAAGGUUUUUCCUGUGAAAUAGAUUUUUUUUUGCUUUUUUACUUGAUUACUGAUUAAAAAAGGUAAAUAUAAUAUAAUCCCAAAUACUGCGUCACAAAGAGCCUCCAAACCAAUAAGAGUCAUUCUCUAAUUUUACAUUCACCUAUCCAUGUACUAUGUUUUCUUGUAAAGACUGUCUCUUUGGCUUUUUGGUUUCUUUUAACAGCUAUGUUGGAAAUUAUUUAUAUAUCAGUAGAACUUAUUAAAAAAUGUGUCAUUAAAAAGUUAUUUUAAAAAUAUGCAUCCAAGUUCAACAACAGAGAAUCUUCUUUCAAACAUUAGCUGUUCUUUACUGGUAAAUAAUAGAUGGACGGCAAACAAUUCCUGGGGUCUUUUUCAUGUUGAUAACAACAGGACUUGAAAACGUUCUUUGACCAGGCUAUUGAUUUCUUUAAAACACUGAAUGAACACGCACACAACAUGGAGGUCUCUGAAGACAAAGAAAAACAAAAGAGUUCAUAUUGAUUGAUGCUUUUGAUGUUAAAAACUUGACAAACGGAGGAUCAAACCUAUCAUGCAUCAAAGCAGCUUCCUGUCCAAGAAGCCCACUAUUGCUUGUGGAGCUUUUUGGCGUAAGUAUGAAAGCUUUUCAGUCCAAACUGACUACUAGAUAACACCAAGUUUCCCCAGCCAAUUAUACCAAGUGUGUACAAGAACAUUACUGACUUAUUUACCCUUUGACCAAAAAGCUUCAGUCUAUCAGAGACCAGACUUUAACUCACCUUGAAUAAUGGCACAGGUAUGACCAGAUAUAAAGCAUUUGGAGAAGUAGAUCAUCGCAAUUGUUGUAGCUCUGUGUCCUCUUCAGGGAGUUCCGCUGUCAUCUGACCUUCCCUCACCAGUCUCCUAAUAAGCAACAGGUAAUAUGAGGUGCCUGGGUCUAUUCUGAGUCCAUCCUCCUGUCUAACAUGCUGUUUAGUUUGGUUGCUGUACAAAGGACAACUCUUUUGAACCCAUAGUUGUUUUUUUUAAUUAAUUUGCUUUGUUUCCUUUUAUUGUUGGCCUGUGGUUCCCUGUCUCAUGUCAAAUACUAGUUUAAAGCCUUGGUGUGGUGAGUAGGGAGGCUUGUUUAGUGGCAUGCUCAUCUUUUUAAACGAAGGAUACUAAUUCUGGGCCUGCAGUUAGUCUGCUGCUAUUUUGCUGUUUUCAAUGACGAUGAUUGGCCUGAAUUAUUGAAACUUUCAGGUUAGCCUUUUUGUCAUUAGGUUUCCCCUUAACAUUUUUUUCUGAUUGCAAGAUUUGCUAUUCUCCUUUCUGAAUAGAUUUGUUUCAUUUUAGUUACUGUGUUGCACCUUUUACCUUGACUAGUCUGAACAGCCUUACCCCAAAUUUCCACCACACACAGAACAGCGGCAAAAAGGCUGUCGACACCAAUCACUGCCGACCGCGCUUAUCAUUUCCAUUCAAGUUCAUGCAUCAAUUUCCAUCGGCUUCUUUCCAGCCCCCUGCAAUUCAGCAGGCUUCAUAGACGGGUUUCUAUUUUGCAGCAUGCCGCAUAAAUUCAGCACAGAUUAGCCUAUGUUUGAAAGGAAGUCAGGCAGAGACACAAAGUAAAACAGCCAGGUUCUUUUCAAGAUAAUGUGUUUCAGAUACGUAUGUCACACCAUGUUCUUGUGAGUCUUUGUAAUUCCUGCUGUCUGAAAUUCGCCAUAAAAUUUGCCUCAAAAACAUCUCUGCUAGGAAUUGGCAGAUGGUAAAAAUCGCCGCUGUUCCAAAGUAAAUCUGUUCCGAUGCAGUGAAAAUUGGGGGUUACUGGCUAGACCCACAGGGUCCUAAACAGCUCCGCUCCGGACCGGCAGGCAGAUCAGAUCCGCAAGUCUACAGCGCCCACCGGAUCCGAUCCGCCGCCAUAGGAGGAGAAGCGCUCGCAAGAUUACCAAUAUUUCUUGCGAGAUGGGACGAGAUCUCAUGAGCUCACGCAUGUUUCUCCGGGAGUCAUAGAAUGAGAUCCGUCGAUCAGCGUAUAUAAAUGGCGGUGUAUAUAAACACCCACAUCCCACAACUCUGGCCUCUACUAUUAUCAAGUUAACAACAGUUCAAUGUAUUGACUUUAUUUUGUUUUGAAAACUAACCAGGUAUUUUACUAUGUAACCCAAUACAACUUCCGCUGCUGCUUGCGCUGCGCUGAAUUGAUGCGCCAUGCUCCAGGAUCCGGCAAAAAUGGAAGCCUUGUGUAUCUGACCCGGUCGCCGGAGCUGAUCCGUAGUGGAGCCAGAUGCCGGAUGGAUUCUGUGGAAUGGCUCAAAUUGAUUAUAAUGCUUGCGGAUUUGAUCUGCUGGCCAUGCCGGAGUGGUGCCCUGUGGGUUUUGCCCAUUAGCGUCACUUAGUUGGGGGCUCGGCCACCAGAGUGAGGGCCCUCCACCUUUUGCAUGUGAGUUAAGCACACUGGGGCACAUAUCAACUGCACCCCCAUUAUUGUGUGCAGUGUGAGGUUGCAUUACUUCACUAAAGUGAGUCAGUGGUAUCAUCCCGACACUUUAUUUAGUGUAGUCUGCCUCUCACUAGUGGCCUCAGCUUGGUCCAGUCUAGUUUAUUUCAGUUUACUUUAAGCUCCGGCAGUAUCAUGAGUAGGGAUUGCAAGACACACAGGGGACACCUCAGGAUAAUCAAUUGAUAAAUGUUGUGGUGACCAAGUUAAUAAAGCAGAAAGGUGGCAUUACAGCAUAGCCUUACUUCCAGUUUCAGAAAUGAGGUGGAUGGUUAGAAUGUUUAUAAGUGUCAUGAAAUCAUAAUUAAAUUAACAUUUGUGUUGACUUGUUUAUCUUCGCCAAAUAACGAAGCAGAAUAGUUUAUAGUAAACUGGGUUGUUAUGCAGAUGCUGAUCCUGACAGAGUGAAACAAACAGGCUCUUUGCUGAUGUGGAGCUUGUAGAUGCUGAAAGUUGUUCAUUUAAGCAGUGGUAGGGUUAAUGUACCUGAGUAAAUGUGACACUCCCUGGGCAGAGUCUGUGGUUUCUCAAACCUGUCUGCUCUCUUUAUCUGUGUCUACUGAUGAAUCCUUCUGCACCAGCCUUUCCAUUCCUGUCUCUUUAACUGAAAGCUGAUGAAUUAACAUCCACCUACCCCCUACUGCCGGAGGAGCUCUAAGCACCUUUUCCCCAGUGUGGUUUCCCAUUCACUUAUUCUAAAGUGCUUUAUCAGGCCUGAAGUUUAACUGAAAUAACCUGUUUCUCUUUCUUAAGGCAAUCUAAAGUAGUACUUUCUUAACUCUGCUUGUCUCCUCACUUUCUCAUGUCGACUUUGGACAAAAAUUAGUUUGAAUUUUUUCAACAGUCAUAAUUGUUUCUGUCAGCUCUGUUAGUCUAAAAACACCCGUGCAGUCAACUCACAAUUCUGCCACGGAGGUGAAGAUGACAAAUCAGACAGUGAGUUUAGCAUAAGUCAGUAUUCGUUCACAAUGUCAUUACCACUUUGUUCACCUGGUGUGUCAUUCAAACUGCUCCUUUAGGCCCACUCUUCAGUAAGAGAAAUGAGGAGCUCAAAAGAUGUGAAAGGCUGUUUCCUUGUAUUUUCAUUGUCAGAGGAGGGCACAGAUAAUCCAGAAUUGAACUCAGUUAACCAAUCAGUUACAGACAUCAACUUCAGUAACAACUAAUUAGUUAAUGCCAUAGACUGUAUAUAGAAUGGACGCUGUCUGCCUCCUCACUGGGUGAAGCCUCCAUGAGAACAGCACCCUCUGGUGAUGGGCUGCAGUAUUGGUCAUAAAUCUCACCUUCUCCAGCAAUCCCUAUGGAGCUGUGGACAAACUUUAGGAAUUAAUUACACAGAAUAUACAUUUUUCUCCCCCCUGGUUGUGAUGUUGACAUGUAGUUACAGUAAGACUGGUUUGUGCUCAAGUCCUCUUUUCCUGCACAGCUCUAUUUCUAAAAGUUAUUAGGGGGUUCAUGUGUAACUCACCCCUUUCUCUCUUCCUCUUCUUCCUCGCGCAGCUCGACCCGGACUUGUCUCUGUGUCCUCUCUCCCUGUCCUGCUGCAGCUGCUGCUGCGGCGGCUGAACAGAUGAUUAGUUUCAGUGAUCAGAUGAGUUAUUUACUUUAAGCCUACAUACAAAUAUUAUAAUAUUCAGUUUUGUGGGCCAAAUUUAUUUUAUAUGCCAGCAUCUGUGAAAGAAAGAGCCAGGCCACGGAGCGCGAUGCGUCCUUUACGCACAGAUGGUUCCGAUUUUAAUGUCAUUUUUGGAAUUUAUGAUGUGAUCUCUGCGCACAACCCACCUUUGUCACGUGAGGUUUGAAUAUGUGCAACUUUAUGUGAGUGUCUUUAUUCGUGGAAAAGGGUGUUUGUCUUACCAGUGGGUCCAACAUUACACACACCAAAUCCAUCUGUGCUUAUAUGAGAGAGAGUGAAGGACGCCCUCUGCAGCGUUUACAGCGACACUUGUUGAGGGGCUGCCUUCUGUCGCCAUCGUGUGGCAUUACUGUCUUCAGACAUCUCUUGAUCUCUUUGACUACUUACGCCGCGCCUGCGCCACAUCUCCGUGCGAAGCACGAAAAUGGAGCCCAUUAUGUAAAGUAGAAUAUAAAGUAGCUAUACUAGAGAUGCAUGAUCGAUUUUUUCUGAUCCAAUCCGAUACCGAUACCUGGGCUGGGCAUAUUGGCCGAUAUCCAAUACCGAUCCAAUACUACUGUUGAAUGAAUGAACUGUAUACCUUGCCCUGUAAGUGAAGGCAUCAGGCUUAACAUUAGACUUGUUAAAAAAAAAAGUAACAAAUUAACACAGAUAUUAAUUUACUUAAUAUUAUUUAUGAACAAAUAACAAAUUGCACAUUUGCACACAGCAAAAAGACGUAAGACUUCCAUGUAAACAUUUAGUGCAAAAGGAUAGACAGACGUAGAAUACAAAGCAAACAGAAUUGCUGUGAUGCUGUGUAUGAUAAUAAUUAAAAGACUGGAUUGGAACACUGGAUCAGCGUCAUUCAUCAGAUAUCCAAUCCAGUUAACUUGUCAAUAUUGGAGCCGAUAUCUGAUCCAAAUACCGGGUCAGUGCAUCCCUAACCUAUACCUUAAAUAGGUUACUAAAUGGAUACAAAUAAUAUCUGAAUGCACUAGGCCUUCACUUUGGCAGAGCUUGAGAGGAAAAACUUGAGAAAAAGUUGUUGGAGUCUCUGUCAACAAAGACAGUAGUGAUACCUCCACAGGUCAUUUGAGCACAGAGAGCCUCACAGUUUAAGUUACUGAGUAGAACUUUGUGCUCUACAAAAAAUAGUUUGGGACAAGCAUCAUAGAAGUAGUAUCCCCUUUCAUUGUUUUGCCGAUGAUGUACAGGUGUAUUUGCCGGUGAAGGCACCUACUAAAGACUCGCUCCAGGCUGUGUUUAACUACAUGAAAGACAUUAAAACAUAGAUGGACCUCAACUUGCUAAAACUAAACAAAAACAAAACAGAGGUUGUCCUGUUCGGCCGUCCCGAUCUGGUUCAGGUCCUUGCCAGCUCCCUUGACCCAUUAGCACCAUACAUAAAAUCCCAUGCCAGGAAUCUUGGGUUCAUUAUUGAUGGUGCCUUCAAACUGGACAAGCAGGUCAGUGCUGUGGUCAAGUCCAGCUUCUUUCAACUGAGGCUUUUGGCUAAGAUUAAACCAUAUCUCAACCAGAGAGACCUCGAAACAGUAAUCAGUUCUUUUAUUACUUCUCGCUUGGAUUACUGCCAUUCCCUUAACUUUGGCAUUGACCAGGCUGAGCUUAACCGCCUGCAGCUCGUGCAGAACGCGGCAGCUCGUCUCCUUUCUGGCACCAAGAAGCGUGAGCACAUAACUCCAGUGCUCUCUUCUCUACACUGGCUUCCAGUUAGGUACAGGAUCGUUUUUAAGAUUCUUUUAUUUGUUUUUAAAUCUCAGAAUGGGCUGGCCCCAGAGUACCUGGCUGACCUUGUUAAGCUACACCAACCCUCCAGAGCCCUUAGGUCUGCUAACCGAGUCGUCUUAAACGUGCCUCGUUCUUUUUUAAAAUCCAGAGGGGAGCGAGCGUUUGUGGUUGCAGCUCCCACUUUGUGGAAUGCACUACCCCUCAGUGUGCGUUCUGCAAAUAGUCCCUCUACUUUUAAAACCCAACUGAAUACGCACUUGUUCACUUUAGCUUUUGGCGAAGUAUGAUACUUGUAUUGGUUAUAUAUUCGUUUUUGUUUACAUUUAUAUGUUACAUGUCUUUUGUUGUUGCUGUUUGCUGUGUAUGACUUGCUUUUAUUGCUACUGCUUUGUUUUUGUAAAGCACUUUGGUAGGCCACUGGCUGUUUAAAUGUACUAUACAAAUAAACUUGACAUUGACAUUGACAACAAAUGCACAUGGAGCUAAUAAAAAAAAUUAGAGGAAAAAAGAACACAUGAGAAUGUACGUCUUGUAGUCCAGUGUACGUGAUUAAUUCAUACUUUCAUGAAUUACUCACAUGAGUGUGAUUCCCUUGUCUGUGCACUCUGGCACAAAUCCUAUGCCACACACACACACACACACACACACACACACACACACACACACACACACACACACCUAGGUGUGCGCACACACACUAAAAAGGGAAAACUGUUAUGUUGCUGUACAUAUUUUCACCUUAGGCACAGAAUGUGUUUCACAAUUCAGUCAGAGCAAACAUGAGCUUCAGAUCAUCCUACAUUCUAUGACCUUCAACAAAGAAUGGACCUCAGAGGCUCAACCUCUUUUUGUAGUUUUCCUGUUACCAAGGGGAGGAGAGAGUGUCUCCCUUCACUUUAAACAGUACUGACUCAAAUGUGUCCACAAAGGGUCUGUUUAGGUCCACAAACAGAAGUGAGGAGAGGCUUUCUGUGCUCAACAUGUUGCUGCGCUUGACCUGCCUGUCUGUAAAUCUUUUUCUGAAGCCUUCCUGUAUCAGGACCAGAGACUUUGCAGCCUAUCCAUUUAGCGGCCAUGGACAGUGAGUUCAUGGGAAACUGAGCUGCACUUGGUGAUCGACUUGUCAGGGCUCCCCCACGAUCAAGCGUCUGCUGGAGGAGAGUGGGUGAGUGCAGCGGAGUUUCACAGCUCAAGUAAGGAUAUUUAUGAUUAUUCCUUCAUGGAAAUGCAAUCGGGGGCAGCACAGUGGUGUAGUGGUUAGCACUGUCACCUCACAGCAAGAAGGUCCCGGGUUUGAAUCUGGGUCAAGGUGUUUCUGUGUGGAGUUUGCAUGUUCUCCCUGUGUCUGCGUGGGUUUACUCCGGGUACUCCUGUUUCCUCCCACAUCCCAAAAAUAUGCAGAAGUGGGAUUAGGUUAACUGGCCACUUCCAAAUUGCCCAUAGGUGUGAAUGUGAGCGUGAAUGGUUGUUCGAUGGAUGGAUGGAAAUGCAAUCAGACCAAGAUGCUAAGGCAGAAGAACUGCUGCAUCUGCAGUGCAAAAUAAUUAUUAUGAUGAUUAUUACUUCAAGGAAAUGAUCUGCUGCACUCGGUGAUUGACUCGUCAGGGCUCCCCCACAUACAAGCGGCUGCUGGAGGAGAGGGGGUGAGUAGUGUUUGGUCUCCUUGCUUAUGAAACCAGGCAAAGCUAAAAAGAUGUUUGAUGGCUAGUACUAUGACUGGGACCCUAUAUGUACUGUUGAUGAAGUUAGGUGCUGUUCUGAGCAUUAUUUGUGGCUAUAAAGUGGCUUUUUGGUUGAGGUUUGCACAUGGAGACAUAGACCACUGUGUAUUGCUAUCAUGCGGUCAUGACUAAAGUUGGUAUAACUAGAGAAGCAAGCAGCCGGCAACCUUCAUCUCUCGAGGGGGUGUCUAACUCGGUGUUACGGUUUGUUUGACCAUAACUUAAUUUUACACCAAAAUAUCCCUUUAACUGUAUUUAGGCAGAUACUCGUUACUGAGGUACCCAUUGGAUUCUCGUUAACUAAUUCUUAUGAACAGGUUGGUUCUUCACAGUCAGAGGGGGUCUUUUCUUUUAUGCCUGUGGGAAAUGUUUUAUACAGCUCUCUUCACAAUAUUUCUGUACCCUCUUGGUAUUUAGGCUCAUAAAGCAGUGUAGUUAUGUCUUUGACCAAAGAGAAACAUUACCCAAAAGAAGUCCUUGCAGAAAGUGCAUUUUAAUGACAUCUGAUUUAUUAACUGUAAAAUGUGCUUAUUGUACAAUGAAAAAGACGAAGUGGGUGUGAUCUAUUUGACUGUUUUAAGACAAAAAGGGAUUUUUUUUACAGAGCUACGCAUGUUCAUUACUAAAACAGCAAGGAGAUCAGAUAACUUCUUUUCAUUAAACAUAUGUCAUAAAGAGCGAUGCUUCCCAUUUUUCUAAUUAUUCAGAGAUCAAGUGGUUAAUGCAGGAAUAAAACAAUGACCAAAUAUAAGUAUAUCUACAUUAAAAUUUAUCUAGAGGCUCAUGAAAGGGAAAACUUAGAACUUGAUCUGCAUAGACACAAUAUCUAGUCUCCUGGCAACCCCAGCUUCCCUGGCUGUUCAGUAAUAACCCUUGAGUUUGGCUCAACUAUAGGUUGACUUCUGCACCUCUGGCCACUGACAACUCCUUUAACCUGCCUGACCCAAUAUCUCUGGCAAAUAGUGCACCCCAAGGGCUUCAAUUCAUCUGAGCAUCCCAUGUCCCUGAAAUACCCUGCUCUCCACCUGCAACCAGCACCACUGAUUCCACAGGGAUCAAGCACAAGCAAAGAAAAGUAAGCAACAGAGUGAAAAGUUUGAAAUUCAGGGAAUAUAUUUCCCUAACCAUCCUGUGCAUGAGGUGAAAAACUAAAAUUUUGAAAACUUUGCACAGUGCUGGGACUUCCUCAGAGGAAGAACAUGACAAAAACAGCCAUCUCUUGUUUUCGCUUUUACUUUUAUACCACCUACAUGUUGCAAUUCUGUCCAGAGCCAUAAUGAAGUUCAGCCAUUGUCACACCUUCAUGCAUUGUACUCAGCAACGGGGUAACACUUACAGCAAAGUUCCAGUGUGUGAUUUUACACUGCAUUACAGCUUUGUGGGGGCACAGGGGCCAAAAUGCGUAAACAGAGUCUUUUCCACACUGCAAUACUGCAACAGCCCCAGAACUAGAUUUCACCAUCCCCACAUCUCCCUGUGAAAAAAUGAAUACUGCCAGAGUGUCAUGAUGGUGCCCCUGUGUGUGAUUUCACAUUGUGUUGUAGUGUUGUGCAAGAAGCUCCGAUUGUAAACACACAGUGGGAGUGUCACAUACACACAGUCUGACAGGCACUUAAAUGUAUCACCGUUCUGUCAGAUAACUUCAACACUGCACAUUACUACCAUCUUCAUCUUAUUGGGUCUCUGUUGAAAUUUGCUUCUACUUAGUUUGUAUUGCACUUUCCUGUAUCACCUGCCCAGUACAAAGUUUAGAUGAGAUGGAACAGUGGUGUUAAAUGGUGGUAUGUAAGAGCCCACAUACACACAUGCAAGCACAGCCCAGAUAUCACACAUAUGUUGUCGGCCUUAGAACGGCACGCCAGCCUCCAGUCUAUAAUGUUUGACAAGCAUCGGCCCAAUAGCGGAUUAAGUGCUCUAAUGUCCCAGCUAAUUAAAUGUCUGCGCACGGUCGUUUUUUCAGCUGAUCAGCUGACCGACCUUGCCUUCCAGUUUGGACAGUCACCUGAUGGCAGUCACCAUUACAUACCAUUAAAUGCAGAGGAACGCAGAGGAAAAUGCACCAACUCUUCGCCAUUGUUUUUCAGGUAAGCUGCUGACGUAAAUUGGCAAAAAAUAACUUUUAAGGCAAUUCUGUGACAGUUUCUAACAACUGAGUAUGCCCAGUCUCCUCCCAGAUGCAAACUGACCGGUACCUACAGGUAAGCACUCAAGCACUGGACUGCUUGUCCUGGUGCUGCUGUUAGCUCUGUUAGCUUUUAGUGUAGUCCGUUGUUCAGCACAAGAUUUGGCGAUAGCUUCCUAGCUUCAGCGAACUGUGCAAAAAAUUUAACCUUCCAAAUUCUCACCUAUUCCAUUACUUCCAGGUCCAUAACUUUGCUAAAUCAAACAGCACCUGUUUUCCUAAUAUUCCACCUAAUUCAGUCAUUGACUCCAUUUUGAACAUUCCCACUAAUCAAAAAGGCCUCAUUUCCAAAAUUUACACUCUAAUUUCUCAUCUGAGAGAGACAUCUCUGGAUAAAAUGAGGACAGAGUGGGAACAGGAGCUUGGCAGGACUAUUAAUGACAGCGACUGGGACUCAGCCCUGACCCGGAUCAAUAACAGUUCGUCUUGCUCCAGGCUUAAUCUGAUACAAUUUAAGGUUGUUCAUUGUAUCUAUUUUACUAAUUCCAAAUUGUCUAAGAUCUACUCCAGUAUCACAGAUAGCUGCAACAAAUGUCACCUGUGGCCAGCAAACAUGACCCACAUGUUUUGGUCCUGUCCCUGUCUGCAAGCCUUUUGGACAGCUGUUUUUAAACAUCUUACAGAAGCACUUAUCAUAAAACUGAUGCCCUGCGCAGAAUUGACUAUCUUUGGAGUACUACUCCAAGAUGUCAAAAAAUCGAGAAAAAGAUUAAGGAUAGCAUCGCCUUUGCUUCUCUUCUAGCACGCAGAAGAAUCUUAUUAGAGUGGAAGUCACCAUCUGCCCCCAAAGCCUCUGUCUGGACCUGAUGCUGCACUUAGACCUGGAAAAAAUUAAAUACAAUUUGAGGGGGACCCCUGAAAGAUUUGACCUGGCUUGGGGCUACAUGAUUAGUUACAUCGCUAAAUUAAAGACACUGCAGGAUAAAUUUCACCUAUCUGGGGAUAGGUGUUGGGGGGGGAUAAAUCUACCCCACCCCAACAAUCUGGGAAUUCAACUUCUAUUGGUAUGACUCCUUUUCCCCUUUUAUUUUAUUUUAUUUUAUUUUUUUCUUUCUCUCUGAGUAUAUGUUUAUUUGUUUAUAGUACACGUGAAGGAUGAGUGGUAGUACUGCAACAAAUAUGUAGGAUUGGAUUGGGGUUGGGUGGGCAAAAGGGAUUUAUUUUUAUUUCCUGCUGUUUGUCAUUGUUUGUUUGUUUUGUUGUGUUGUUGUUUAUGGAAAAAAGGGGGAAAAUCAUUAUCUUACCUAAUUGUAUGUAUCCUUGGCUGUCGAAUGAAUAAUAAAAACAUUCAAAUAAAAUAUUUGGCGAUAGCUGAUCUCUUCCACUCAGUCAAUUAGGUCUGAUCGUUAAAGCAAAUGAAACAGUUAAAACUAUUGAAGGUACACAUUUAUUUUUACUAAAUUCAUGUGAUUAUCCCGGUUAUGUGCGCCAUAUUUACUGUACAGCUUUGACCUAUAAAUAAAGAUUGUGCGCUACAACUUUGAUUAAUCGUCCAAAUUUCGUGUGUCGAUCAUUUAAGAUCAAAGGCCAACGUCUUUGCGACAUUGUGGCAAUAAGCAAACGCUCUCCUUGCGACAUCUUGGCGAUGUAUUGGGCUGACGUCGGCUUGAUGUACAUUUGCUAUCUGGGAGGUAUGCACACAACACAAGUGCACUCACCGGCAAACAAUUUUAUUUCACCAAAUUUGAAUUCCCAUCUUAAUGAAACCUACUUAAGGAACGUCAGCACUGGGUAGCUUCAAAAUCCCCCAUGGGGAGAGGACACUAGAGGUAGCUGCUGAUGACUGCUACUGUGACUGAUGAUGAGGCUGAUGAAACUGACAAAUCCAUUUACACCGUGUGGUUAUGGGGAGAUGAAGGGGGAAAGAUAUCAGCAUAAACCAACCAAAGGUAGGGAGAGAAUCAUAUUCAAAAUAAUAACAAUAAUAAUAAUAAUAGCAGCAGCAAGUGAAUAGGCCAGAUCAAGCACAACUCACAGCUAAAAACAAUGAAAACCAUGAGUGAGCAAGCACAAGAGGUGUGAUUUGCAAGAAAAUGUGAUAUACAACUGCAGGCCAAUGGAUAAGAAAGUAUUCCUCAACAAGCCCCAUAUUAGGUUUUUAUUUACUGAACAUUUAGACUUUAUAAGAAACAGCCCUUUCAAGGAUGUACAAGCAGCUUUGAAGAGAGACUUUGUUCCUUUUGAAGAGGAGGAACAACAACUGUGGAUUAAAGAGAUGGCAGGGGGGCAUUUCUGCUAUUUUCUACUGCCAGGGCUCUUCACCAGAGGUGGAGGGAUGUAGCUGUAAAGGCCAGCAGCAAGAGGCCUCUCCUUACAUGUUGAACUGUAGGGAUGUUCGCUUCUUCUAGUGGAGUGGUGACCUCCAGGUGGCCUUAAAUUCAAUCUGUGGAUUAAAUAAGGAACCAUUUUUGCUGUAACAAAGGUAUACACAUAUGUAGCAGGGCUCACUUCAAUCAUGUCGUGGUAGAUUCUCUACUAUGCAGCAACACUUCUAAAGCCAUCUUCUGUGCCUGUAAGUGAUGCGCAUGAUGGUAAACAGAGGUAACAGAGGACAUUACAAUGUAUAGCUUCAAAAUGCAACAAUACCAGACUAAAUGUUCAACAAUAGAAAUCAAUGUUGUAGGGUAUUGGAGAGAUUGACAUUUUUAUGUUCCUCAGUGUGAAGUAAGGAGAUAAACUCAAAUUUGAGUUACUACAGUGCAAAAAAAGGAGUCCCUCCUAGACUUCAGUUAAAAACUAUUCAGGGUCAAGGUCAGAUGACCCACGAUGAAGUACUAAGAUGUAUUAUUAAUGAGUUAGUAUUCAUGAUCCGUUAACAAACUUUAUAUUAUCCCUAGGUCUUAGAUAUCUUUUUGGAGGUCUGGCUUCUCAUCCAGUGAGGAAAGAGAGAGGCAGCAAGGUUCGCCCCAUCUGACCAAAAACUUCUUUAUCCCUGACCUGAAGUCAGACUUCACACACACACUACUGCCAGUACAAUAGUGUACUUUCCUUUCAAUCAAAAUUCUGGGAAUCUGUAUUUCAUGAUGAUUCACCUCCAUUGCUCCAAAAUUACUGGGAGAGAUCCAACUCCCUCUGAAGCCCAGGGCGAUCUUGUGCCAAUCAGUAGCUUUUGGUACAGGCAGAGAUCCAUCCACUGCAGUGUCCCUAAUGUCCCUGGUAACAUCUGGCACAUUGUCUGCCACACUGGAGGUGCCCAGCCUGUAAUGAGAUGCAUUGGUGUUAUUAAAGUCACAGAGGGUCCUUGGAAUAUGACCAUUGUGCAAUCUGUAGUAUCAAAAUUACAAAUCAUCCUACUGGCUACGUAAAAAUGAUGAAGGGUUUCCUAUUUUCAGGAGUCAAAAUAAUUGAGUAAAAAAGUAUAUAACUAGGUCAAUAGCCAUUUGUUGGCAGUUCAUUGCAAGAAAGCCUUGACAAAAAAAAGUCUGCAGCUUCCUAUUGUUAGCAAGCUAAGUACGCUUACUUAAAAUAGAUACUUGUGACGAUCAGCAGGGGAAGAGAGUUUCCUGAGGUGAUGUUAAAUGUUGAUCUACAGACUGGUUAUACACACUUUGAUUUCACACAUACUCAAGGCAACUGUGAAAAAAUCAUCUACUGAGGUCUUUCUGCAAUUAGUCUUUGAUUCUUUAGAUUGUAGAUCUGAAUGCAACUUGAACGCAUUCAAAAUGAAUAGAGUAAAAAUAGAGUAAAAACAGACUAUGUAGAACAAAGCUCCUUCCAAAAGCUGUCUCAUCAAAAAUGCUCUUUGGACCUGAAGAUCUCAGACAUCCACAGUCUCUUUUCCCCAUUUCACAUGCACAGCAGGGCUAAUGAUAGCAUAAGUGCUGUUUUUUUUGUGUUAUUAAAGCAGAGUAAUGUGUCUCACCAGCUUCCACAACCUAAUUUGACUUGAUUUGUUCUGAGCAAUUUCCACAGAUUUUGUCUUCACUGAGCCAAGAAGCACGUUGUUUCUGAAAAUAUCUGUUGUUAGCCCUUUGGUUGCUUCUUCUUGCUGUUAUUACAAAAAAGAAAACUUUUGUCAGUUUUACUUCAACAUUAAAAGCCUAUAUGAGCAUCUUGAACAACCUCUCUUAGAUUAUCUGAAACCUACUUUUUCCAGCGCCUUCACCACUAUUGGCAACAGGAGGCGGUAUCUGCAACCCACAGAAGUUGCUCAAGUAGUGCAGCUCCUCCAGGCAUAUGCAUAUGCACUGUGGUCAGAAGGUUUGCUCUGUCUCCCAGCAUGUGUGAAAAUCAUUGAAAGACACUGGGAGAUAAGCCAGUACACCAUGAGAUGUGCAAGGGGUCAUGAGGAUCCAGCAUCGACAAGUGGGGCCUGUGCCCACAGCCUGGCAUCAUAAAGCCAACAUCCUGCUACCUGCAACAUCCUCCAGUUUGACCAGUUUGGUAGUGGGUCAGUGAUGCUCUGGGGAAGCAUAUCCUUAGAGGGCCGCACAGACCUCCAUGUGCAACCAGAAGUACCCUGACUCCUGAUAGGUACUAAGAUGAAAUCCUUUGAUCUCUUUUAAUACUAUAUGUUGGUGCAGUGGACCCUGAUUUCCUCCUGGUGAGUGUACAAGCACUUCCAUUUUAAUUUAUUUAGGAUAGCUCCUUGAAAUGCAGCAUCUCGUCUUGGAGGGGGUCCCAACACAGUUACAAAAAACAAACAGUACAAUAGUACACAACAAAAACAAAACACACUGCUUUUCCGCUUCCACAGCCCCCACACCCCCCACACCCCACCCACCCCAUCACUAGCUUACAAAAAUAAUGCUCACACACAUACACAUAACCCUGUGCCCAUACCAUACAACAUCAGGAGCAACAGAAUGCAACAGCAAUUUUGAAUUACGUAAUCAAACGAAUAAAACACAAAACAAAAUUAAAAAUAUGAACAGCUUGUUCAUAAGUGGGAAAAUAAAUUUGAUCUCAAGAUAGAAAGAGGAAGGAAGAUUCCUCCAAUCAGAUGGGGCUUUGAACUUGAAUGACCUGCGACCUAUUUCAUUAUGGAUUUGUGUACUAUGGAGCUGUAUACUGGACCAGAAGCUGUUUUUAAGUAUGAUGGGACGUAUAAGUGGAUACAUUUGAAAAGGAGUAAGACCUGUUGAAACUGACGCCUGGAGUUAGGAUAAAGCCACUGAAGACCUUGUACAUGUGGCGGUGGCGAUUUCUGAAUGGACAUCUCAAGACAUUUCUGCAUAAAGAGUUAUUUAAAAUAUGGAGAGGUUUGAGGAUAGAGUCAGUCAGCAUAAUCGAGUAUGGGAAGUAAUAGUUGUGGAAUUCCACUUUUCCUGACUUGAAAUGAAAAACAAUUGAUUGAACGGUGGAGAAAACCCAGACAUCCCAUCCAAAGUCCAAGGUAUUUAGAUAUAUUAACUCUCUCUCUAGUAGAGUUCCAUCACUAUAAUUAAUUAGCAACUUAGGUGAGUGUGAUAAACCAUGGUUUGCAGCAAAUACCACAGGACUUUUUUUUCAUAUCAAGAACAACCCUGUUGUUAUUGAUUGAACCAGUGUUCGACAGUAUAAAAACUUGUUUCAGGUUAUACUGAAUUUGUGAUAUUCCCGGAUUGGAAAAGUUAAUAACAGUGUCAUCAGCAUAAAAAUAAACAUGACAGGUUGCUCACAAUUAAGGUAGGUCAUUAUUAAAAAUGGAAAAAAAGAAGUGGACCUAAUAUAGAGCCUUGUGGAAUACCUGUAUCAAUUAACAUUCUACUAGAUGGACAGCCAUUGACAUAAACAUCUUGAUGCCUUUUGUGAAGAUAACGGGCUCUGUUUUUGUACCUCGCCGGUGGCAUGGUGCGGACAUGGCGUAACUCAGGUUCGCCGCACCAAUAUCCUGUUUUCACCAAGCACAUCAGCUCCUCUCCUCACCUUUAGAUCCACCACCGGCAAGGCGUAUUACAAUUUUCGUAAAGUAGUCGAAGAGACAACCUCAACAAGUGUCGCAGAAAGCGCUGCGGAGGGUGUCCUCCAUACUCUCUCAAAUAAGCACAGAUGGAUUUGGUGUGUAUAACGUUGAACCCACUGGUAAGACAAACACCCUUUUCCACAAAUAAAGACACUCACAUAAAGUUGUAUAUAUUUAAACUCCACAUGACAAAGGUGACAGAUCACAACAUAAACAAAUUCCAAUAAUGGCAUUAAAAUUGGAACCACCUGUGUGUAAAGGACGCAUUGCACUCCGUGGCCUGACUGUUUCUUUCAUAGAUGUUGGCAUAUAAAGUGAACUUUGUUCAAGUAACUGAAUAUAAUAAUAUUCAUAUGUAGGCCUAACUCGGGAUUGAAUAUUCACAGAAUUUUAAGGAUGUGAGAACAUCAGAUAAAAUAGAUGAAAAAAGAGCCCAAUAGUUGAAUCAGAUGACAGUGAUCUGAUUUAUUCCAAUGUGAUGGAGUUUGUCAAGGAGAAGAUAAUGUUCAACUAUGUGGAAGGCAUUUGAAAGCUUAAUGAAUAUUGCACCUGUAAAUUGGCCAAUGCCAAACACUAAAAGCAAGUCAUUUGGGAAUUUAGGAAGAGCUGUUGUAGAGAAAUUGGGUUGAAGGCCAGCUUGAUAUGGAGAUAAAAUGUUAGCUUGAGUUAAGUAAUGAAAUGAUUGAUGAAAGAUAAGUUUUUCAAAGAUUACAGAUAUUAUAGAAAUUGGUCUAUAAUUAUUUAAUUCCUGAAUGAUGACGGCAUGGAUUCUAUUGUCUUUCCCUCCAGUUCCCCUGACCUGAAUCCAAUCCAGUACUCCUGGGACAUCACGUAGCAUUGUAUCCUCCGCCACCAGUUGGCAUCACAGAUGGUCUAGAAGCUGACUGAUGCCCUGAUCCUGGUCUGAGAGGAGAUUUCGUAAGAGUCCAUCCAUUAUCUCAUCAGAAGCAUGCCUAGAUGAUGUGGGGAGUGCAUAUAGGCACAUUUAGGUUUGAUUCUGAGUCCACCACUUAUUGGGUUAUUGAUUUUGCUUUCUGAUCAUUCUCAUAUUAUUGUGUUCGCAUUGAACUACAUAAUCAAUCAAUAUUUCUUAACUAAAAUAUCACAUUUAUUGAGUUGUGGGAUGUGUGAAUUAAGCAUUCCUUUUAACCUUUUUUAAGCAGUGUACCAUAGAACAACUACCACCCCUGGGCUUCACUGCUCUGCUGGUGAAGCUCAGGGACCAUCAGGAAACCAUCUCUUCUUAAGAAAAUGAGUGAAAUCAAUGCAACGUCCAGGUUUAAUACAGUCUUUGGAUGCUUCCUUGUGUGGUCCUUUGACUUGGAUCUCAAGGACUAUAAAAUAUGAUUUGAGAAACUCUUAGGACUGCAGUAAAGUAUACAGCAGGAAAUCAUGUUCCAUAGCUAUAAAAGUUAACAUCACAGGUGUUUCAGACAUAAUAGUUCAACAGGGACUGAAAGAAACCUUAAUGUCUGAAAGACACCUGCUCUGCAGAUCCUGACAAGAAUAGAGAAAUCACUGUAAUCUUCUCAUAAUAUUCCCCAGGAAAAUAAUAGCUUGCCUGAGGUGGUCGAUAAUAUCCUAACAAUGAGCAUGUUGUAUUUUGUGAUAUUUUUAUCUCCUGCGGUGUUAGUUUAGUAGUCAUAGAAUAUCCCCACGGGGAAUUAAGCGCCUGCAGUAAUCAAUAGUAAGUGUGCUAUGACCUGACUGUACAGACUGCAGGCAGAGUCAGUCUCAGUCUUUUUUUUUCUCUUACUACCCUGGCUCUCAAGGGGAAGCCCCUGCAAGGGCUGGUGAGGGGGGGAGGGGGGAGCAAUAUUCUACAACAAGGAUGAUACCUGACGCAGGAUGUCAUUUUUUUUUUUAGAGUUUCUUCUCUCGUCCCACUGCACCAGACUGGCAUUGAACACACACGCAUAGAAGUUUUCAACUCACAAUAAACCCUCAGUCCCUCCCCUCUACAGCAACUUCAAAAAUACUCAGAAACAAGUCACAAUCACGACACACACACACACACACACACACACACACACACACACACACACACACACACACACACACACACACACACACACACACACACACACAAACCAGAGAGGAUAAUCAUAGGGAUAUUAAUGGAGCUGGAGAAACAGAUGGAGUCAAUUGAGCUUUUAAUAGACCAGAGAAGCUCCUCGUCUUCUGUAUGGAUAAAUAACACAAUAGUCAGCAAAUCCAAGAUCAAAUAGAUGAUAUUGACCUUUCAGGGUAGGACAGGCAGGAGAGAGAGUGAGCAAAGGGACAGCACCAGUAGAAACAGACUGAGAUGCAGAAAGUCAAGAGCUGAGAGAGGUGUGACACGGAGGAAAACACCAAAAAGUCAAUAGAAGGGAAGUGCUCAGACAAAGCAUCUUAAUCAGAGUGCGACAAAACAGCGAUCAAUCAUAAGUAUGAGGAUGGAGCAGCCAGUUGCAGAGCUGGAGAGGCCCUGACCUUAGCUGCACUGCAGAUAGAGCAGAGAGGC
rnacentral:lncRNA from 1 species